rnacentral:lncRNA from 1 species
GCAGCUAUGGAGUGAGAUGUGCUAAUUAAUUUGUACCACCGUACGCUUACAGAGUUCCCCUUUCUUUUCUUUUUAUGUGUAACAGCCCAGAUGAUGUGCUUUACACUUACAACUCGUGCUGACUGAAUCGGAGCAAGCCUCCUGCCAGUUCCACCAUGUAACACUCUGCAGGUACAGCUCAAAUAUUGCUCUGUUUCACCCAAAUUUAGUCGAUCAGAUUUCUAGCUAUCUUGUUCCUUUCAGUAUGUGCCGAUGUGCACGCAUUCUAAAGCUGCGCAUGCUUAUAUAAAACGCAAGCAUGAUCUCAGUCACAUUGUAUUCAGCUUGUGAACACAUAUAUUUUACACGUACCCCUGUUUGUAGCAAAGAAGACUUCCUUAAUUUUCUACCUGCUGACAGAGUUUCACAUCUAAGGUUGUCGAAAUAAGAUAGUGCUCUGUAGUGCAUUCCGAUUCAGCUGGGUACCCAGGAGCCCCACCAAUCUGCAGUAAUUAUUCAUCCCAUUGUCGGCAAUUACAAGAUGGGACCCAACUUCAAGAGAGGCCAAAUGGUUUCUCCAUACGGCGGAAUAUCACG